rnacentral:rRNA from 1 species
AACGAACGCUGGCGGCAUGCCUAACACAUGCAAGUCGAACGAGACCUUCGGGUCUAGUGGCGCACGGGUGCGUAACGCGUGGGAACCUGCCUUUAGGUUCGGAAUAACUCAGAGAAAUUUGAGCUAAUACCGGAUGAUGUCUUCGGACCAAAGAUUUAUCGCCUUUAGAUGGGCCCGCGUUGGAUUAGCUAGUUGGUGGGGUAAAGGCCUACCAAGGCGACGAUCCAUAGCUGGUCUGAGAGGAUGAUCAGCCACACUGGGACUGAGACACGGCCCAGACUCCUACGGGAGGGAGCAGUGGGGAAUAUUGGACAAUGGGCGAAAGGCUGAUCCAGCAAUGCCGCGUGAGUGAUGAAGGCCUUAGGGUUGUAAAGCUCUUUUACCCGAGAUGAUAAUGACAGUAUCGGGAGAAUAAGCUCCGGCUAACUCCGUG